GAUGAACGCUGGCGGCGUGCUUAACACAUGCAAGUCGAACGGUGAAAGAGAGCUUGCUCUCUGGAUCAGUGGCGAACGGGUGAGUAACACGUGAGCAAUCUGCCCCUGACUCUGGGAUAAGCGCUGGAAACGGCGUCUAAUACCGGAUACGAGCUGCGAAGGCAUCUUCAGCAGCUGGAAAGAACUUCGGUCAGGGAUGAGCUCGCGGCCUAUCAGCUAGUUGGUGAGGUAACGGCUCACCAAGGCGUCGACGGGUAGCCGGCCUGAGAGGGUGACCGGCCACACUGGGACUGAGACACGGCCCAGACUCCUACGGGAGGCAGCAGUGGGAAUAUUGCACAAUGGGCGAAAGCCUGAUGCAGCAACGCCGCGUGAGGGACGACGGCCUUCGGGUUGUAAACCUCUUUUAGCAGGGAAGAAGCGAAAGUGACGGUACCUGCAGAAAAAGCACCGGCUAACUACGUG
rnacentral:rRNA from 1 species